UUUUAAGUUAAUUAGAUCAUAUUAAGUAAUUAUUAUUAUUAAAACAAAACAUUAAUAAACUAAGUAAAGGUGAUUAAAAAUUAUUGUAUCUAUAUUAAUUAAGUACUGCUAAGGAAAAUUUACAAACGAGUAAAAGAAAAAGUUAAACUUUGUACCUUUUGCAUCAUGGUUUAGCUAGAUUUAAAUUGGAUAUACAAUUUCUAGAAAUCUAAUGAGCUAUUUUUAAUCAGUAUAUUAGUAUAAAAAAGUAAUUGUGACAAAAAUUUUUUUAGAAUUAAAAAUAGAAAUGAAAUUUUAUCCGUAUUAGAUGAUAGCUAGUUCUCUUAAAAAGGCAUAGAAGUGCUUUAAAUUAAAAUUUAUUUUAUAAAUUUUUUUAUAUAAUAAAAUUUAAUUUACUUAUGUUUUCGAGGAUAAGCUCGAAAAUUUAUGUUAAUUAUACAUACCAAUUAAAAUUAAAUUUAAGCUUGAAAAUAGCUAAGAUUAAAUAGAUUUUGUUAUAAUUUCAUUAUUAUUAUUAAAAAUAUAAUUAAUUUGUUUUGACACAUAAGAGAAAUUUCUAAAAUUAUUUUGAGAUACAUGUAUGCUAAAAUGAGUAUUCUGUAAAAUUUAUUUUCUUAUAAUUAUAAACAUUAAGAUAAUUUAUUUAAUAUUUUAAAUAUAAAAUCAUAAAAAGGAACUCGGCAAAAAUAAAAAUAUUCUGCCUGUUUAUUAAAAACAUGGCUCCUUGUAUAGUAUAAAAUAAGGAGUCGGACCUGCCCAGUGAAUUUUUAACGGCCGCGGUACUCUGACCGUGCAAAGGUAGCAUAAUAAUUUGCCUUAUAAUUGAAGGCUGGUAUGAAUGGUUUGACAAGAAUAUUACUGUCUCUUUAUGAUUUUUUAGAACUUUAUUUUAAGGUGAAGAAGCCUUAAUUAAAUUGAUAGACAAGAAGACCCUAUCGAGCUUUAAAAAAUUUAAUGGAUUUACAUUUUAAUAAAAUUUAAAAAAUUAACUAUUAAAGAUUUUAGUUGGGGCGACUAAGGAACAAAAAAAGCUUCCUUUAAAUAAGAAUAUAUACAAAUUUUGAUCCGAAAUUUUCGAUUAAAGAAAUUAGUUACCGUAGGGAUAACAGCAUUAUCUUUUUCGAGAGCUCUUAUCGAAAAAAAGGUUUGUGACCUCGAUGUUGGACCAGAAUAUCCUAAAGGUGCAGAAGCCUUUAAGGGUUGGUCUGUUCGACCAUUAAAAUUCUACGUGAUCUGAGUUUAGACCGGCGUGAGCCAGGUCAGUUUCUAUCUUCAAUUACUUAAUAUAAAUUUAGUACGAAAGGACCAAUUUAUUAUAAUAAUUUAUUAUUAAAGAAAAAAUAUAAUAUCAAAUUUAAUA
rnacentral:rRNA from 1 species